CUUUUUCAUGACAUUUUGUCAAAUUGCCAUGACUAUGUAUUCCUGAAAAUGUCAGUCAACAUUAUACAAUAGGAAUAAAAAUACAGUAUGUUCAAGUUUACCCUCAGAGGUUUAACAAUAAAAUGGAUGACAAUUUAUGUGGUUCAAUCCAAAAUAAACAUUUAUUUACACACACAAAGCAAGAUCUUUAAGGGACUGGACAUAGGGUAAA